GUAGGUGGCAAGCGUUGUCCGGAUUUAUUGGGCGUAAAGCGAGCGCAGGCGGUUCCUUAAGUCUGAUGUGAAAGCCCCCGGCUCAACCGGGGAGGGUCAUUGGAAACUGGGGAACUUGAGUGCAGAAGAGGAGAGUGGAAUUCCAUGUGUAGCGGUGAAAUGCGUAGAUAUAUGGAGGAACACCAGUGGCGAAGGCGACUCUCUGGUCUGUAACUGACGCUGAGGCUCGAAAGCGUGGGUAGCAAACAGGAUUAGAUACCCUGGUAGUCCACGCCGUAAACGAUGAGUGCUAAGUGUUGGAGGGUUUCCGCCCUUCAGUGCUGCAGUUAACGCAUUAAGCACUCCGCCUGGGGAGUACGACCGCAAGGUUG
rnacentral:rRNA from 1 species